AACGCACCUGGCGCUCCCUGGUAUUCCGGGGAGCAUGUCUGUUUGAGUGUCAUUAAAUUCUCAACCUUUCCAGCUUUUGCGAGCUUGGUCAGGCUUGGAUGUGGGGGUUGCGGGCUUCUCAGAAGUCGGCUCCCCUUAAAUGCAUUAGUGAAACCUUUGUUGAUCAUCUCUUGGUGUGAUAAUUAUCUACGCCAUUGGAGUGUCAGCCUCAACUCAUGUUGAGAGUGUUCUGCUUCUAACGGUCCCCCUCUAGGGACAACUUCUGACCUUUUGACCUCAAAUCAGGCAAGACUACCCGCUGAACUUAA
rnacentral:misc_RNA from 2 species